CACAGCUAAGGUCCCAAAUUCACUGCUAAGUGGAAAACCAUGUGGAAAGGCACAGACAGCCAGGAGGUUGGCUUAGAAGCAGCCACCCUUUAAAGAAAGCGUAAUAGCUCACUGGUCGAGUCGGUCUGCGGGGAAGAUUUAACGGGGCUAAGCAGUGAACCGAAGCUUGGGGUGCAUACUUUGUAUGCGCGGUAGAGGAGCGU
rnacentral:rRNA from 1 species